rfam:Haemonchus placei strain MHpl1 genome assembly, scaffold: HPLM_contig0000127
GGCACAAACUUGAAGUAGAGUAGCUUAUUAGGGUCAGACGAUCUUUCUAAUCUACUUUACUUCGAAUUUGGGCCC